UACAGAGGAUGCAAGCGUUAUCCGGAAUGAUUGGGCGUAAAGCGUGUGUAGGCGGCUUUUUAAGUCCGCCGUCAAAUCCCAGGGCUCAACCCUGGACAGGCGGUGGAAACUGCCAAGCUGGAGUACGGGAGAGGCAGAGGGAAUUUCCGGUGGAGCGGUGAAAUGCGUAGAGAUCGGGAAGAACACCAACGGCGAAGGCACUCUGCUGGGCCGACACUGACACUGAGAGACGAAAGCUAGGGGAGCGAAUGGG
rnacentral:rRNA from 1 species